CUACGGGAUGCUCCAGUAGGGAAUAUUGGACAAUGGACGCAAGUCUGAUCCAGCGACGCCGUGUGCGCGAAGAAGCUUUUCGGAGUGUAAAGCGCUGUUUAGAGGGACGAAUGGUAGUCUAUAGGAUUAUUUGACGGUACCUUUAGAGGAAGCUCCGGCUAACUCCGUGCCAGCAGCCGCGGUAAUACGGGGGGAGCAAACGUUAUCCGGAAUCACUGGGCGUAAAGGGUGCGUAGGCGGAUAUGUAAGUUAAGAGUGAAAAUUCAUGGCUCAACCGUGAACUUGCUUUUAAAACUGCAUGUCUAGAAUAUAAGAGGGGAAGACGGAACUCCUGGUGUAGCGGUGAAAUGCGUAGAUAUCAGGAGGAACACCGGUGGCGAAGGCGGUCUUCUGGCUUAAUAUUGACGCUGAUGCACGAAAGCGUGGGGAGCGAACAGGAUUAGAUACCCGGGUAGUC
rnacentral:rRNA from 1 species